rnacentral:tRNA from 1 species
GCCUGGGUGGCUCAGUCGGUUGAGCGUCUGACUUUGGCUCAGGUUAUGAUCUCGUGAUUCGUGAGUUUGAGCCCCACAUCAGGCU